rnacentral:tRNA from 1 species
GGAAAUGUGCCUGAAUAAUAAAGGAUCACUAUGAUAAAGUGAGCAUGGAGGUAAACAAGCCCUCUCAUUUCCU